CAGUUCUCUUUUCCAGUUCGAUGAACAGUCUGGUUUUGAAAACAUUAAUGGAAUGGGUGAAAUCAUCAUUAUUAUUGUUGGAUUGCCAGUGCUUGUAUUGUGCUUUUGGAUGUCCAAGCAACCUUGCCUGCCCUCCUUUUUUGAUAGAUGCUGGAGCUUUAAUGGGACCAUUUUUUGAUAGAUGCACUAGCUGCAAAGGUUGUGCGUCCAACAAAAGGAGUGCAUUUACGAUCAUUCUGAAAUCUAUGGAAGCUAUUAUAUCAGUUGCAAAAGACUGUUCAUCAACACUGAAGGGAAAAAAAAAAUCUACGUUUGCCUAUGAACAUCUGCAUAAAAAAUUUGUAUUAUUUACACAGGCUCCCAAUAUCUAAUGGGUUUUAUGUCAUAUCAACAGGGUAAAUUGUUGAGUUGGUAAUUUGGUCCCAACUUGCCAUAAUCAGCUGCGCUUCUUGCUUAUUCUAUGCAGAGAAUUUCUGAACUCUUUCAAGAAUAUCAGUUUAUAUUUCGCCAUAUAUUGUUCAUAUUAUCUCUGUAUAAAAAACUCUUACUUAUUAGAUUAUGUUUACCUCUCAGAAAAACGAACUAGUUAUUUCCUUCUUAAAAUUUCUGUUUCCUUUUAUCUUAUUAGAUUUUUGGUUGUUGGAUAGGCAUCUAAAGGUAAAAAGGCUUAUGGGGUUGAAUGUUCGACUUUUGUUCUGAUUAUGCAACCUGACUAAUACAUUCCAAUGGCGGAUUCUUCUGAUAGACUCUAGAGCGAUUUUUGUCCGUGGUGUCAUGGACACAGUUUGUAAUAGUUUUAUUUAAUUGCACUACCAAUUUGUGACCUAUAAGUAGCCUCAUGAAUUAUGAAAAUAUCAAAGCUGCUUGAGAGCCCCACCUAACCAAUGGCCUUCCCGAGGUGCUGUGCGUGUUCCAGUAGGGGGGUUUAUUUGGUAGACUCUAUAGCUUUCUUAUAUAUGUCAUAGAGAUGACUUGCUAAUGUUUUAUUUGAUUGAAAAAUUAACGUCUGACCUAUGAGAGUUCCCCUUACCAAAUGGAUUUUCAGAGGUCUUCUCUCUCUCUCUCUCUGAGUGCAAGCACGCGCAUGUGUGACAAAUAUUCACACCUUUUACACUGAACUCAGAACUGUAUGCAGUGUUUAUUAGAAGUUCUGAAUUAUACAGUUUCAAAUUUUGAGCGGCAACAUGUUCUGAUUGUUCUCCUAGUUCAGACUGUACCUGUACUUACAGUUUUGUGCCUAUUAUUUCUAAAAUAGCUUUUGUAUUAUUUUAUGAAAUUAAGUUUCAAAUCUUUGCUGCAAGCACUCAGGACAGUCUGAUCAUUCACAGGUUUCCUAUGCUGAGGUUGAUGACAACUAUUGCAGUUUCUGAAUGUGGACACAAAGAUUUGUUUGACAUGCAAAGUUUGAACGACAUCAAUGAAAUCUUUAGGAGGAAUCAGUGAAACAACAUCAAUUCAAAUCCUGAAUUUUCGAAUUGAGAGAGAUUAAGAAUUCUCACCAUUUCUUAGAUUCAUGGAUCAAAUUUGAUUCAUUGGGAUCUUUCCCUUACAUUUUUCCCCACCAAGAACGUUUUAUGAAACUCUGACCUCCGAAUUUGGAGUAUCUUACUUUCACGUGAUUCACAGGGUUCAACAAGCAAUUGAUAUUUCACGAUCAAAGGUGUAGUAUUGCUUGUAAUAGCGGUCUUUAUAUCUCGUAUUAACAAUCGAAAGAUGGUCGAAAGGAAAAAUCUGAAUUAGAUUGGGCUAUUUUGAAAUCCGAUGGUGUUUUUUGUAGCAGUUUAAGGGGUUGGUUCAUUUUUGGGCAUGCUACGUUUGCUUUGCUCUUCUUUUUUGGACACAUUUGGCAUGGUGGUAGAAUCUUGCUUAGAGAUGUUUUUGCUAGUAUUGAUCCAAAUUUGGAUGCUCAAGUGGAGUUUGGAACAUUUCAAAAACUUGGGGAUCCAACUACAAGGAGACAGAUAGUCUGAUACAACAUUGCUCUGGUAUCUUUCGCCUCUAUUUUUUUUGAUUUGACAUAAGGUACCGGAGAAAUCUUAACAUAAGGUACCAGUUGAUCCAAGGCACUCUUUCUUCCAUUCACGAAUGCAGUUUCUGAAUGAGGACACAAAGAUUUGUUUGACAUACAAAGUUUGAACUUUGUAGAAAAUUUCACUGGUUCAUUUUAGGAUCUGUUUUUAAUUGAAUUGGUCAACUUAAUUACUAACUUGCAAUUUACAGUGCUGGUUUUAUAGUGAUGAGAUUCUUAAUUUUCCGGAAGAAGACGCCUCAUCAUCCGAAACUAUGUGAUCGCGACUUUAAUACCUUUCAGAUUGUGGGUUCACCGACAUAUUCACGGUUAUGAUUCUGGCCUCAUAAGUGCAACCAGACAUGCCUAAGAGAAGGCUUUGUUAGUGACAUUGGUGAAGCUACACCAUGUCGAGUUCGUUGUGGUUCCCUAACCUGCUAACAGGUCAGUCUUCUUUGACCAAGCCCAUUGAUGGUUGGGUUAGAGCAACCUCCAUUGACUCUAGGAGGAGGUGAGUUGGGAAUAAGUGAGGAAGAGAGGAGAAAAUGGGGUGAUGGAAACCAAUAGGAUAAUAGCCAAUGUGCUUAAGGGUUGGUUGGCCAAUGGAGAAGGGGAGAGGGGAAGGACUGAGUCAGUUGCCAUUAGUUGAAAUUAAAUGAACCAAAUCUUGUACUUGGUUCAUGAGCUGAAAAUUAAUUUCUUCAUUACUAAUAUAAAAGCUGUUUUUGGAGGCUUA